GUUAGAAAGGCACAGCCGCCUACUUACUCCGGUUAGCUUCUCUGAAGCCGACAAAACUAAGGCGGGGCGGGAAUCUAAACUUGUUGCGCCUCAUAUUCUGUGGAUCAUUAGGAAAAAUAUAUUCAAAACAAGAUACUAAUUGAUAUUGGGAGAAGUGCAUACUCUCAUCUCUGCUUGCAAGAAAGUGACAUUCUGUACCCUUCUAAAGGACAAUACA